rnacentral:rRNA from 1 species
UACGGAGGGAGCUAGCGUUGUUCGGAAUUACUGGGCGUAAAGCGCACGUAGGCGGCUUUGUAAGUUAGAGGUGAUAGCCUGGAGCUCAACUCCAGAAUUGCCUUUAAGACUGCAUCGCUUGAAUCCAGGAGAGGUGAGUGGAAUUCCGAGUGUAGAGGUGAAAUUCGUAGAUAUUCGGAAGAACACCAGUGGGGAAGGCGUCUCACUGGACUGGUAUUGACGCUGAGGUGCGAAAGCGUGGGGAGCAAACAGGAUUAGAUACC